rnacentral:miRNA from 1 species
GGCGUGGAGACCGAAAGCGAACG